UGGGGAAUUUUGCACAAUGGGGGAAACCCUGAUGCAGCGACGCCGCGUGAUUUAGAAGGCCUUCGGGUUGUAAAAAUCUUUUCUAUGGGAAGAAAAUGACAGUACCAUAGGAAUAAGGACCGGCUAAUUACGUGCCAGCAGCCGCGGUAAUACGUAGGUCCCGAGCGUUGUCCGGAUUUAUUGGGCGUAAAGCGAGCGCAGGCGGUUAGAAAAGUCUGAAGUGAAAGGCAGUGGCUCAACCAUUGUAGGCUUUGGAAACUGUUUAACUUGAGUGCAGAAGGGGAGAGUGGAAUUCCAUGUGUAGCGGUGAGAUGCGUAGAUAUAUGGAGGAACACCGGUGGCGAAAGCGGCUCUCUGGUCUGUAACUGACGCUGAGGCUCGAAAGCGUGGGGAGCGAACAGG
rnacentral:rRNA from 1 species